rnacentral:tRNA from 1 species
CAUGGCUUAGUGAGUAAAGUAUUUGGCUCUCAAUCAUAAGGUCAUCAGUUCAAUUCUCAUUG